rnacentral:lncRNA from 1 species
GGAAUGAAGAGCUCAGAACCCAUUCUGUGAUUUCUAUCAGUGAUUAACAACUGAGUGCGAGCAGCUGGGGUGGGUGCCUGAAAGGUGAGCCAAAAGUGAGAGACAGAGGAGAAUUCCUAGCUGUAGAAACUGAAGGAACCUCCCAUGGUAGUGAUUUGAGAUGCACACAUCAGGGAGAAGAUAGCUGGCUUCUACUGUGAACCAGGUGUGAUACAGAAAGCCUUGAUGCUCAGCUGGGCAUUGCUGCGAUUGGGGGACCUUGCACACCUGAGGCAGCACAGCUGUUUUCACUUGGCCUGACUGCAGGAGGUGAUAAGAAGGGAAGCUGAGAUCCGUUUUGGACAGGAUGAAAGGAGGCAAGGGAGGAAGAAAUGGUGCUCAUUUUUAAGGGAGAUUUUCAGCAACUUGAGAAAUACUCUUUGGGGCCAACUGUCCUUCAGAUAAAUGCGCGCAGCUCCUGG